rnacentral:rRNA from 1 species
AACGAACGCUGGCGGCAUGCCUAACACAUGCAAGUCGAACGAAGGCUUCGGCCUUAGUGGCGCACGGGUGCGUAACGCGUGGGAAUCUGCCCUUGGGUUCGGUAUAACAGCUGGAAACGGCUGCUAAUACCGGAUGAUGACGAAAGUCCAAAGAUUUAUCGCCAGAGGAUGAGCCCGCGUUGGAUUAGGUAGUUGGUGGGGUAAAGGCCUACCAAGCCGACGAUCCAUAGCUGGUCUGAGAGGAUGAUAAGCCACACUUGGACUGAGACACGGCCCAGACUCCGACGGGAGGCAGCAGUGGGGAAUAUUGGGCAAUGGGCGCAAGCCUGAUACAGCCAUGCCGCGUGAGUGAUGAAGGCCGUAGGGUUGUAAAGCUCUUUUACCCGGGAAGAUAAUGACUGUACCGGGAGAAUAAGCCCCGGCUAACUCCGUG